CGACAGAGGUGGCAGGGACCAGGAACGCGCGGGCCUAGGAGGUUGAUGGCUGGGAAGUGGGCGGAGCCUAGAAAGCAAUUUGGAAGUGAGAAGAGCUGGGGGAGUGGGCGGGUCCUGGUCGGCGAAUGGCAGGCGCUGCAUGUGACGCUCGGAGGACCGCAGCAUCUUUCCCCUCUUCCUACGCGGAACCGCUGCGCGUCUCGGCUCCGCCCUGACGCCGUGCAGCCCUGGGCCACUAGGGGGCGUCCGCGGUGCACACCGGGCGGCGCUGCUGAGCAAAGGAACCCAGACCCGAACUGCGGGUUCCUCAAAGGAGGCAGGGAGUCUUUGAAGGUAUCAAUAUGUAAUACAACAAGCACUGUGAAUUCCCUACCACUCUGUUUGUAACUCCGUACUGUCUGUCCUGUUCUUUUGCUAUUUUGUAAAAUGUUGUCUGUCAAUGUUUUCCUCCUUUUAUUUUUAAAAUUAAAAAAAAAAAAAAAAAGGAGGCAGGGAGCAAGGAGUGGAAGGAGGGAGGGGUGGCCCGGCCGAGAGGAGGAACCUGGGUCUCGUAUGGGAAUAUGGAUCUUAGAUUGUGCGAGGGCUGGGGCCGCCACGGGCCUUGGGCGGUCCCUUUGGGGUUG
rnacentral:lncRNA from 1 species